rnacentral:ncRNA from 1 species
GUGACCAAUGCUGGACCAACCAGGCGACGAGUAGAAGGGCGCCGCGGCGUGCAUGGAAGCCGCGGAAGCGCGCCCUGGUGAAGCCGACCGCGCGUGCAGAUAUCGGUGGUAGUAGCAAGUAUUCGAAUGAGACCUUCGAAGACCAAAGUGGAUAAGGGUUCUGUGUCGACAGCAGUCGAUCACGAGUCAGUCAGUCCAGAGAAGCGGGCGAAAGCUCCCACGAAAGGCGCCGGAUUUGUCACAGUCGUCACAGUCUCACGCAUGUAUGCACGCAUGCAUGCACGCAAGUGGCCGGCCUCGCAUUGAAAGGGAAUCAAGUUAAUAUUCCCGAACCCGAGCUCGGAGAGUGCCCGUCCGGCGGUGGAAAUGUGGAGGCACUGGUACGGACCGGGGAAAUCCGACUAUCUAUUAAAACAGAGCAUCGCGUAGCUCUCCGAGCUGCACAGACGUGAUGUGGUUUCUGUACAGUGCUCUGAAUGUCAAAGUGAAGAAAGUAUUGUC